rnacentral:misc_RNA from 1 species
CUUUGGCUCAUGCAAGUGCAUGUGAGCUCGAAAGCGAAUGCAAAUUUGCAGCGCCGCAAAGGCUUCGAGCGCCACAAUGAUAAUUCACUACAACGCGAACUAUCGCCGCAGACGGAUGUACGUGCGCGUGCAAAAGUCGAAAAUAUUCUGAAAAAAUAAUUUUCAAAUAUCUCACAAGUAUAGCAAUUGAUUUAAGGGAGAAAGAACCCCAAGCUAAACUGCAAUCGGUAGUGAAGUUACAGUUCUAGUUACGAGUUGUUCUACAGUUCAAAUAAAAAGUUGUACUAAGCUCAAAACUCAGUUCAAAAACAUUAGCAACAACGCUUUGAAAUUUAAAGUACAAAUUGAUUAAGUGGAAAGGCUGAGAACAUUUCACGAUUCCGCGUGUGACGAUGCAUUGUAAUUGAAUCGCUGCUAGCUCGUCGAUUUGUUGUAACCUAGUAUUCGCUGAAUGAACAUUUAAAGUUGCGUUUACGCGGCAAAACAAAGAAACAAGCGAAAAAAACAAAUUGAAUCAAGAAAAAUAGACCGAAAUUGAAAGCGGACUGAAAAAAUCAACGUUUUGAAUUAUCCAAUCAAAGAUUGACAAAAGUACAAACAAAAGUGAAUCGAAGGAGCGUGAUAAUAGUAUUUGCAACAACGAUUCUCGAACGCUAAAGAUCUUAUCGUAGACUUUUGGUGAAUUGUUUUCAAACAUUUCCAACACAAUUCAAUUAAUAAAUCGACCAAAUGAGUGUCGAAGAGAACUAUUCUGUUCUACAAACUUAAACGUCCAUUUCUUAAUUAAAACAAUAACAAACUUGUAAUGGACUGGCUAUUGGCAACACCGCAGUUACAUAGCGCCUUCUCUUCAUUGGGUUCCCUUGAAGGGGACACCUACGUUGUUGGUCCUGAUGCGUUAGCUAUCCUGGAGGAAAUAAACUAUAAACUAACCUAUGAAGACCAGACGUUACGCACCUUUAGGCGCGCCAUCGGCUUCAGCCAGAAUGUGCGUUCCGAUCUGAUACCGCUGCUGGAGAAUACCAAGGAUGAUGCUGUGCUCGAUUCGGUCAUACGCAUCUUGGUUAACUUGACUGUGCCUGUUGAGUGCCUCUUCUCGGUAGAUGUUAUGUAUCGCACCGAAGUCGGUCGACAUACCAUCUUCGAGUUGAAUAAGCUGCUCUAUACAAGCAAGGAGGCCUUUACCGAUCCGAAAAGCACAAAAUCUGUUGUCGAGUACAUGAAACACCUGCUGGAGUCCGAUUCGAAAUUGUCAUUGCAAAAAUGUGACAAAAUCAACAAUUGCUUGCUGUUGCUGCGCAACGUUUUACACAUUCCAGAGACGAAUGUGAACUUGGUUAUGCCCUCAGCACAUUCUCAGCAGGGCGGUUCGCACCCGGUGUCGAUGCAGAAUGCGAUACUCUGGAACCUUUUCAUACAAAGCAUUGACAAGCUGCUGCUCUACCUUAUGACAUGUCCGCACCGCGCCUUUUGGGGUGUCACCAUGGUGCAGCUGAUCGCGUUGAUGUACAAAGAUCAGCAUGUCAGCACACUGCAAAAGCUGUUGAAUUUUUGGUUUGAUGCUUCGCUAUCGGAGAGUUCGGAGGAUAACGAGAGCAAUACCUCGCCACCGAAACAGGGUAGCGGUGACUCUAGUCCCAUGCUUACAUCGGAUCCCACUUCUGAUUCAUCGGACAAUGGUAGCAACGGCUGCAAGAACGAGAGCGCCGAAGAUCGCCGGCAGGCCAUGCGCGAGGAGGCCACGGAAGCCAUGUUGCAGGAAGUUAGCCGCAAGGGACACGAAUAUCAAAACUCGAUGUGUGACGCGCAGGUGAAAAAGGAGGAUUUGUGUAGCGCUGACAACAAUGUCGACUGCGAACAGCCGUGCACAUCGCCAACGGCUGACGACAUGACGCGUAUACACAUAAAAGUCGAAGCAAUGGAUGAGAUGGCCGAUGGUGAUGAAGUUGAACGAGGCGGCGGUUCGGACGAGUCGGCCGACUCAAAACAACCUAGCGGUAUGAUUGAAGAUUGCAACAACCAACAACAACAACAACAACCAGCUAAACGCAGUCAACACACUACCCUCAAGCCGAAGCAAAUCGACGCAGAUGCGACUAAAUUCAAAGCGCCACCAGUGGUAGCGAAAUCCAAGCAGACGUUGUCGGGAUCGGCUUACAUGAAUGCCGAUGAGGUCAAUCCGAUGCCGAAGCUUUGCCAAAAGGUGCCGCAUGCCGGCCAGCUGAGCCUAACAAAGGGUAACAGUGGCCCUCAGAAGCGCGAAUGCCCCUCCUCACAAUCGGAGUUAUCGGAUUGCGGCUACGUUACACAGGUGGAGAAUCAGGAAUCCAUAUCCACCUCGAGUAAUGACGAUGAUGGUCCACAGGGCAGGCCGCAACAUCAGAAACCACCGUGCAACAGUAAACAGCGUAGCAAGCAGCGAAUUGUGAUGGCCACGGUGGACAAGAAGGAUACGCGCCGAAAGAAGCUCGUCAAGCGCAGCAAGAGUAGCCUUAUCAGCAUGAAGGGUCUGGUACAACACACACCAACCGAUGAAGAUAUCUCGAAUCUGCUGAAGGAGUUCACAGUCGAUUUCCUACUCAAAGGCUAUGACUGCCUGGUGGGCGAGUUGCACUCACAGCUGCUGACCAAUAUCAAAAUACCCAUCGACACAUCACAUUUCUUCUGGUUGGUCACCUACUUCUUGAAAUUUGCCGCUCAGCUGGAGUUGGAUAUGGAGCACAUUAGUGCAGUGCUUACCUAUGAUGUCAUCAGCUAUUUGACUUAUGAAGGUGUAACGCUUUGCGAGCAAUUGGAAUUGAAUUCACUCCAGGAGGGCAGUGAUCUGAAGCCAUAUUUGCGACGCAUUCAUUUGGUCGUAACGGCCAUACGAGAGUUUUUGCAAGCGAUUGAGACCUACAAAAAAAUAAACCAUUUGAGUGAAGAUGAUCGUUUACACUUGCGACGUCUACAAAGUCAAAUCAGUUCCACUGAAGAUUUGCGUUGCCUAUUCGUUUUACUUUUACGACGAUUCAAUCCAAAUCUGCACACCAAACAGUAUCUACAAGAUUUAGUAGUGACAAAUCAUUUACUACUUUUGAUUAUGGAUUUCAUCACACAAACCGAAGGCGAUACCAGCAGCAUCAAAAUGACCGAGCAUAUAUCUCAAUUUGCAACACUCGAGAUAAUGAACUACUAUGGCAUGCUUUUGGAGGACUUCAACAAUAAUGGCGAGUUCGUUAACGAUUGCAUAUUUACAAUGAUGCAUCAUGUUGGCGGUGAUCUGGGUCAGAUUGGCACGCUAUUCCAACCGAUUAUAUUGAAGACAUUCUCGCGCCUUUGGGAGACCGAUUAUGAGUUGUGUGAUGAUUGGUCCGAUUUGAUUGAGUAUGUCAUACAUAAAUUCAUAAAAACACCACAAAAGAGUCCGCUGUCCCUGCCAAAGGCGUCACUCACCGAACUAACCAAGGAACACAACUUGGAGAAUACAAUGUGCGCUUGGACUCAGGAGGAAAUGGACACGUUGUACUGGUACUAUGUGCAAAGCAAGAAGAAUAAUGAUGUUGUUGGCAAAAUUGUGAAGCUAUUCAGCAACAAUGGCAAUAAGCAGAAGUCUCGCAUUUCCAUUGUACAGCAGCUACUGCAGCAAGAUAUCAUAACCCUAGUGGAGUAUGAUGAUCUCAUGAAAUUCGAGGAUGCCGAGUACCAACGCGCAUUACUUACCACACCAACUUCGACUUCUACCGAAUCGGGCAUCGACUUAAAGAAUUCCUCAAGUUUUGCUAAGCCUUCUGAUGAUAUACAGAUUCUACGUGACCUUAUAGUUAAAGAGAAUAAGGAAAAACAUCUGGUUUGGUUGCAAAAAAUAUUGCUUGAGUGUUGUUAUAUAAAGCUGAUUUUGAAGAACUGUUUACAACGUGAAGAUCGACAGGAUUUGCAGUAUGUUAUGGAACCAGUGGCCUAUCAUUGUAUAUUUAAAAACAAAUCGAUUCCUGUCGUGCAAUGGAACAGCGAGCAGCGAACAACAAUGCUCUAUCAACCCUUCGUACUUCUAUUACACAAGCUUGGAUUUCAAUUACCUGCCGAUGCGGGUUCGAUUUUUGCACGCAUUCCCGAUUUCUGGACCGCAGAAAUGAUGUUCAGUUUGGCGCGCAAACUGGGACCCCUGGACAAAUUGUUGAUCAAGUUCGAUAUGAGUCAGUUUGAGGAAGCAAAUGCAAUAGAGUCGCAGCGUUGUUAUCACGCAACAGCCGCACGUGGUUCGCUUUCCUCAAUGUCCAGCCUGGAAAUGGAUACUGGCGGUUCCGAUGAGUACACAGCUGUGGCUAGUGUCGGCAUGGAGGAGGGUAAUCGCAAUGGUAGAUCGAGCACAAAUGGACGUUCGAGUAGUGGAAGCGGUAGUAUGUUGGCGCCAGUGCUGGAAGUUGAUGCUAGAUUGGAGAAGGCGAGCGCAUCGUCAUCCAGUGAUAUUUUUGCUAUGCCAAGAGCAAAGCAUUGUAAUUCGAUAAUAAGAUUUACACCCGAGGCCGCACCAUUGCCACCAGUACCGAAUUGGUUGCAAGUGGUAAUGCGCAGCAAGAUGAAUACAAACGCCACAGCUUCGUCCUUGGAUGUCGCUCUCAAUGGGAACAAUGUAGUUACAACAACAACAACAACAACAGCAACUGCAAAUGAAAGGAUACGCGCUUACUUUAAUGCUUUUGAACAAGCAUACACAAUGACAUAAAUAACAUUUUUAAGAUGAUAAAAAUGGGGUGGAAUAUACAGAAAUAUAUGAAACCGAAGGGAAAACGUUGUAUAAACUAUAAACAUACACACGAGUAGAAGCCCCCCUAGUAUUUCAGAUAUAUAUAUACAUAAAUAAUAUCCAAUACUAUGAAGAUUAAUGAAGAAAACUUACAUAUGUACAUAAUUGCAAUGAGCAGGUUGCAGUUUGAAAUUGAAGCAAAAUCGGAGGAUAGCAUUUUAUCGAUUGGCCACAAGCAUUGCAAUCGCACUGACUGCUUUGGUGACAACUGCCACAGCAACAACAGCAACAGCUGCAACAUCAACCACUGCAACA